rnacentral:piRNA from 1 species
UAAGGCUGAAAUUGCUGGGACUCCGAUUGU